rnacentral:misc_RNA from 1 species
GCUCAAGCUCUUCUCUGUAAGUUUCCAUCCCCCUCCUAACAUAAUACUAUUUUUGUUUCUACAGUGAAAUAUUUACGCAGCUUGCAUUGAAACUCUGUUUUGUUUAUUAGAAUGUAUUUAAACUAGGAAAUAUUCAAUGUUGGUCGUUGAAAUUGAUAUGUUUUUCACCUUAGUUGGUUCAUGUGCUGCUGUGCAUCUUUAAAUGGAACUUGCAUGAUCAAUCUUCUGUAGAGUAGUGCCUGUCGAUUGUCUUUGAUUCGUAAUUGCAUGAUGCAUAGUGAAAGGUACAGUUGGAAUUUGGAAAUUGGAACUCAGUGAUUGAUGGAAUUAUGACUCAAAAUCUUUUAGUAAUUUGAUGGAGUAAUAUUUCUUA